UCUCUCUCUCGUAGUUCUUUGGAAUCCAAUCAGAACACGAGAAUGGGAGAAGAGAAGAAGCCUCAACCGGCUGGUGUAUGGCCCACCGUUAAGCCUUUCGUUAAUGGUGGUGCCUCAGGUAUGCUUGCCACCUGUGUCAUCCAGCCCAUCGAUAUGAUUAAGGUGAGGAUUCAAUUGGGUCAAGGCUCAGCGGCUCAGGUGACAAAGAACAUGCUAAAGGAGGAGGGUGUUGCUGCCUUUUACAAGGGGCUGUCUGCUGGACUACUCAGGCAAGCUACAUAUACAACUGCCCGACUUGGAUCAUUCAAGAUUUUGACCAACAAAGCAAUUGAAGCCAAUGAUGGAAAGCCUCUUCCUCUAUAUCAGAAGGCUUUGUGUGGGCUAACAGCUGGUGCUAUUGGAGCAAGUGUUGGCAGUCCAGCAGAUUUAGCACUUAUCCGUAUGCAGGCUGAUGCCACUUUGCCUGUGGCUCAGCGCAGAAAUUACACAAAUGCAUUCCAUGCCCUUUACCGAAUUGUUGCAGAUGAAGGAGUUUUGGCACUCUGGAAAGGUGCAGGCCCUACUGUUGUGAGGGCAAUGGCAUUGAACAUGGGGAUGCUUGCCUCCUAUGAUCAAAGUGUUGAGUUUUUCAGGGAUUCCCUUGGUUUUGGUGAAGCUGCUACGGUGCUAGGUAAGAUUAUUGCAUAAAUGUACAUGUGGAUUGAUGUCAUUUUCUUUUUUCUGUAACCAUCGCAUUGAACUCAACUUUGUUUCUAUUGCUUAAUCCUUGCAAAAAUUUUGAGUUAGCCAAAUGCAUAGUUCUAGCCAGUGUUGUUAAAGGCACGCCUUGGGCACUAGGAUCACAAGGCUCCAACCCUAACACAUUUGUUGGAGAAAGGUAGGCAUCCUUUUACAGGCUCUCAUCUUAUGCGCCUAGAUGGCGCUCUAGGUGCAAGGCUUAGAAAGGUACUCCUUUAUUUCUAUCUCCGACGAGCACUUCCAUGGACAAAAGAUGCUACCGCUAGACUCAGGAUUUGCCAAUCUACAAGAAUCUGGUGUUGACACAUUACGAAGUUGCUGGAAUUAGUUGAGUUGGGUUGAUGCUAAAAAGUCAUUGGAAUCCCAAUGAACUGUGGAUUGUAGACCUCUCAUAUUUCCAUUUUCAACACUCAUGCUCCUUUAAUCCUUCUCCUCAUACCUUUUUUUCAAUCUUUUCUCACUCUCUCUCAUCUUUACUGCUUGUUGGACUUCUCUAUUUGUACUUUAUCCGAAAUUGUCCUCUUUUUCUUUUAACUCCACAAACAAUGCUAUAUAGGUCCUUUGUUUUAGGAUUUUUCUGAGAUUGCUUCUUUGUUGUUUUUUCCCCCUUCGAAAAAGACACUAACAUGCUAUUUAGGUCAUCUCUUUCUUGAUUAUUUGCCCUCUAUUUCUAAAAAAACAAACAAUAACAUGUUGUUUAGCUCUGUUUCUAGGCUAUCAAAAAUUAAUUUUCCCCUUUUUUUCUAACAACAUUAAUAGUGCUAUUGGGCUUUGUUUGUUGAUAUAAAAAAUUUAGGGGUGUUUUUUUGCAUUAAAUGGCCGAAAUUUGGGUUUAUUUUAUUUUCUAAUAAGUUCUUAUAGUGUUCUCUUAACGAUAAAAAUCUAUAUUCAAUUAUGUAUUUUUCUAUGCUUAUCAAUAUUUUGUAGAUUAGUAAUUUUAGCAAGUUUGGUUAAAUAGAGCUAUAUAACAAUGAUUAUUUGAUUUUAAUUUUUUUUUUUUCACCUCACUCAGGUACACGCCUCACACCUUCAAUAACUAUGGGGCGUAACUACAAACAAGAAAAUUGAUCCUUUUUACAAUUAAUCCUAAAUACCUUUUUUUUUGGCUAGUCAAUGCUAAAAAUACUUUCUUUUUCGUUUCAGUCAUACAACUUUCAAAAAAUUACAAAUUAAGUCCUAAAUCUUUUUCUCUCUCUUUCUUCUUUGUUCAUUAACCCACACAUGCAACCAAAUAAAGACAACAUAAUCUUUUGGGUCUUGUGAAUCUAUCUAAUAUCCAUGGAGCAUUUACUAGCUCCAACCAUGCUACACUUACAGGUCACUCAUAAAGGAUAUCCUUGCUUAAGUAAUUUAUAAUGGGAAACUAGAAAAACCAUUAAUUUGACUUCUUCAUUAACCAAUGUAAGUUCCUAGAACACAUACCUUUUUAACAGAAGAUAAACGAG
rnacentral:misc_RNA from 1 species